rnacentral:tRNA from 1 species
GCGGAUAUGGCGGAAUUGGUAGACGUGCUAGGUUUAGGUCCUAGUGAGGUAAAAUUCGUGGGGGUUCAAGUCCCUCUAUCCGCA